GGGAGUCAAUACUUUGUUCUUUGAACCAACUCUGCUGAAUUUUUAUUGUCAGAAUAACUUCUAUCAUGUACGGUAACAGCCUAAUUAAAAAGGAUAGCUAAAAUCUGCAAUGAUUAUCAUCCUGUAGGAUAACUUCCCAAUGUUACAUCCACAAAUGAAAUACGAGGAUGGUUUAGUGCGUUAUGUUUUCUUCUUGAAUUUCCUCUGUGCCUUCAAAUCGACCACAAUCACAGAUAUAUUAUCUCUGCUGCCCCUUUGGAGAGCAACUCGAGUCAAGUACUCUGCAGCAUCUUGAGCAGCAGGAUCUACGUUUUCACCCCUUUCCCUACUCAAAGUACCACCAUUUUUUUUGUGCCAGAGAAGAAUUCGUCUCCGUGCUACAUCACAAGCUUCUUCAUUUGUCAAGACAUCCCAUAGCCCAUCACUUGCUAAAAUUAGACAGUCGUCUUCUUUUGCUCGGGGUACAAACAUCAUUUCUGGAUCUGGAAUCACAUAAGGCCUUAAAUAUCGAUCACCAAUUGACCUUGAAACUGCAAGAACACCAGAAACGCGAUGUCCAUCCCAAUUAAUGACCUUCCCUCCCAGUUCUUCUAUUCGUGAACACUCAUCUUCCCUAUUUGGCUUAUGGUCAAUGGUUAAUGGCAUGGGCAGUUUUCCCCGACAAAGGACUGCCCUAGAAUCACCACAAUUCGCAACAAUAAUAUGGCUUGGACUAACAACAGCAACUAUAGCUGUAGAUCCAACUGCUUCAGGAGCAAUGACUGAAAGGUCAGGCUCAAUCCCGUCUGUUUCACUACAGAACCCCCCUACCUCAUCAUCGACUCUACAGAAACAAUUCAAGAAAGCCUUUGACCAUUGCUCCUUCCAGUUAACACUUCCAUUAUGUGGAUCCUCU
rnacentral:misc_RNA from 1 species